rnacentral:rRNA from 1 species
GAGGUUAAGCGACUAAGCGUACACGGUGGAUGCCCUGGCAGUCAGAGGCGAUGAAGGGCGUGCUAAUCUGCGAUAAGCGCCGGUAAGGUGAUAUGAACCGUUAUAACCGGCGAUACCCGAAUGGGGAAACCCAGUGUGACUCGUCACACUAUCAUUAACUGAAUCCAUAGGUUAAUGAGGCGAACCGGGGGAACUGAAACAUCUAAGUACCCCGAGGAAAAGAAAUCAACCGAGAUUCCCCCAGUAGCGGCGAGCGAACGGGGAGGAGCCCAGAGCCUGAAUCAGCAUGUGUGUUAGUGGAAGCGUCUGGAAAGGCGCGCGAUACAGGGUGACAGCCCCGUACACAAAAGCGCAUGUGCUGUGAGCUCGAUGAGUAGGGCGGGACACGUGGUAUCCUGUCUGAAUAUGGGGGGACCAUCCUCCAAGGCUAAAUACUCCUGACUGACCGAUAGUGAACCAGUACCGUGAGGGAAAGGCGAAAAGAACCCCGGCGAGGGGAGUGAAAAAGAACCUGAAACCGUGUACGUACAAGCAGUGGGAGCCCCACC